rnacentral:rRNA from 1 species
AGCAGCCGCGGUAAUUCCAGCUCCAAUAGCGUAUAUUAAAGUUGUUGCAGUUAAAAAGCUCGUAGUUGAACUUCGGGGUUUACCCAUUGGUCAGGCUUAAUUGUCUGCACUGGUGAGAUGAAUCUCUACCUUCUGAGGAACUUUCAUGCCAUUUAUUUGGUGUGAUGGGAAAUCAGGACUGUUACUUUGAAAAAUUAGAGUAUUUAAAGCAGGCUAACGUCUGAAUACAUUAGCAUGGAAUAAUGAAAUAGGACGGACUGAUUCUAUUUCGUUGGUUUCUAGGAUCACCGUAAUGAUUAAUAGGGAUAGUUGGGGGCAUUAGUAUUCAAUUGUCAGAGGUGAAAUUCUUGGAUUUAUUGAAGACUAACUACUGCGAAAGCAUUUGCCAGGGAUGUUUUCAUUAAUCAAGAACGAAAGUUAGGGGAUCGAAGACGAUCAGAUACCGUCGUA